ACUUGUUCUCCAAGUGGUGAAGGUCCAUACUGAAACAUUACAGCAGUAAACAAAAAUGAAGAAUAACUGGGAAAAAAGGAGAGAAAUAACCCCAAAAAAACAACUGGAAAACCUGUGAUGGCAAAAUCACAAUGAUCUAUCAAAGAUACUUGCCUACAGAAAAACUGAGCUAAAUGAGCUACUAGACUGUAUAUACACUGGGCUGCCAGCUAAAAGAUGUAUAUGCCCACAGCCGAGUGUGUGAAAAAGACUCAAAACCUCAGCAGGACAGUGUUCUGACUGCCUCCUGAAUGUUACUGUUUUCAAUACUCAAACAAAUAAGCAGAAACUGAGGCUCUGCAGAGAACAGUUUGCAGAACAAGCCACUGUAUGCAUCUGAGAAUAAACCUGUAGUUAAAAAGAAACCACCUCCCAUUGCUGAUAUCACUCCCAAUCUAACUUCAUUCUUAGAAGAUCCAUCAAGAUAACUCUGACCAGCACAGUCCAGUCCAAUUUGGGUCUGCACAUGUUGUCCAACAUGGUUUUUGCCUAGCUACUGAAUGGAGGCUGUACUGGUGUGAUUAACAGAACUUAUGUGGGGAACACAUGGCGCUGGGCUGCUUGCAUCAGAGAACAGCCAGUGUUACCCUGAGACAGGAGCCACUGGUGUAUCUCUGGAAGGCAGUCACUCUCUCCUCUUCUUUCUGUGUCUCUGAACACUUUUGCAUUUAAAGCUGCUCUGGGCAGAACUUUACAGCUUAUUUUUGGAAGCCAGUGAAAGAGCUAUUUGUCAAGCCUUUAACUGCAGAUUGGUCAGCACAAUUUUCUGAAAAUUUAUACAGCGUUCAGUCCUUAUUCUGUGCCAAGUAUGAGCUGCCUGGAGAGAACUACACUGCACUUACAGCAAUUGCACUUCAACUGUCAUGUUCUAGGUGGAAUCUCAAAUGUUUACUAAUCAGAAAACAAGCUUUCCACAGUUCACUGUAUGAAUACCUUAAAUCUCAUCCUCUCCCACCACUGUGAAGGAAAUCAAGUGGAAACUCUGGAGCAAGUUACUGUGUGUCCAUGACAUGCUGCAGCCAUUCAUCAAGCAAAGACUUUUAAAAUCCUAUGCAAUAUAUUAUAUCAACAAAGAAUUCUAAGAACAAGAGUAAGAAUAUGGAUGGUAUUUUACAGCUUUUACAUACAUAAAAAACUCAACUAGCAUGUAUUCUGCUAGAUAUGUGAAGAAACAUUCUGUACUCCAUCAAUUACUAGCAUUGGGUAAAUCAAGUAUAGAAUGAAGAACUCAGAAUAAAUUUACAUAUAUGCAAUUCAGACAACAUACUUGUAGCAAAUGAAGUUGCAGUCAAACACUGAAUUAGCAUACUGUGCUGGUUUUGACUGGGAUAGAGUUAAUUUUCUUCAUAGUAGCUAUUACGUGGCUGUGUUUUGGAUUUGUGCUGAAAACAGUGUUAAUAUAGGGGUGUUUUUGUUAUCCCUGAGCAGUUUACACAAAGCCAAGGCCUCUUCUCCUUUUCACCCCACCCCACCAGCAAGGGGGCUGGGGUUGCACAGGGAGCUGGGAGGGGACACAGCUGAGACAGCUGACCCCAACCGCCCACAGGGACAU